AAAGCUCACUUAUCUGCUGUGUAUUUUACACUUUAACACUGCCACUACUGGGACGAGAACACUGCACAUCUGCUACUCGUGGAAACAGGUUAUAAACAACACAAUGGACUACAGGGUUAUACUGGCUAUGUUAUGUCUGACUGUCACAUGUGCUGCAAUCGACGAUACAACAACCACCAC